AAUGAACGUUGGCGGCGUGGAUUAGGCAUGCAAGUCAUGCGGAAAGGCUCCUUCGGGAGUACUCGAGCGGCGAAAGGGAGAGUAACGCGUGGAUAUCUACCCCCUGGUCUGGGAUAGCGGCGGGAAACUGCCGGUAAUACCAGAUAAUGUCUGCGGACCAAAGGUGUGAUUCCGCCGGGGGAUUAGUUCGCGUCCUAUUAGCUAGUUGGUAGGGUAACGGCCUACCAAGGCAAAAAUGGGUACCGGGUGUGAGAGCAUGGCCCGGCUCACUGGGACUGAGACACUGCCCAGACACCUACGGGUGGCUGCAGUCGAGAAUCUUCGGCAAUGGGCGCAAGCCUAACCGAGCGACGCCGCGUGCGGGAUGAAGGCCUUCGGGUUGUAAACCGCUGUCAGAGGGGAGGAAAUGCGUAGGAGUUCUCUCUUACGUUUGACCUAUCCUCAGAGGAAGUACGGGCUAAGUUCGUGCCAGCCGCCGCAGUAAGAC
rnacentral:rRNA from 1 species